CGGGGUGYUAACACAUGCAAGUCGACGAUGAUCCCAGCUUGCUGGGGGAUUAGUGGCGAACGGGUGAGUAACACGUGAGUAACCUGCCCUUAACUCUGGGAUAAGCCUGGGAAACUGGGUCUAAUACCGGAUAUGACUCCUCAUCGCAUGGUGGGGGGUGGAAAGCUUUAUUGUGGUUUUGGAUGGACUCGCGGCCUAUCAGCUUGUUGGUGAGGUAAUGGCUCACCAAGGCGACGACGGGUAGCCGGCCUGAGAGGGUGACCGGCCACACUGGGACUGAGACACGGCCCAGACUCCUACGGGAGGCAGCAGUGGGGAAUAUUGCACAAUGGGCGAAAGCCUGAUGCAGCGACGCCGCGUGAGGGAUGACGGCCUUCGGGUUGUAAACCUCUUUCAGUAGGGAAGAAGCGAAAGUGACGGUACCUGCAGAAGAAGCGCCGGCUAACUACGUGCCAGCAGCCGCGGUAAUACGUAGGGCGCAAGCGUUAUCCGGAAUUAUUGGGCGUAAAGAGCUCGUAGGCGGUUUGUCGCGUCUGCCGUGAAAGUCCGGGGCUCAACUCCGGAUCUGCGGUGGGUACGGGCAGACUAGAGUGAUGUAGGGGAGACUGGAAUUCCUGGUGUAGCGGUGAAAUGCGCAGAUAUCAGGAGGAACACCGAUGGCGAAGGCAGGUCUCUGGGCAUUAACUGACGCUGAGGAGCGAAAGCAUGGGGAGCGAACAGGAUUAGAUACCCUGGUAGUCCAUGCCGUAAACGUUGGGCACUAGGUGUGGGGGACAUUCCACGUUUUCCGCGCCGUAGCUAACGCAUUAAGUGCCCCGCCUGGGGAGUACGGCCGCAAGGCUA
rnacentral:rRNA from 1 species